UGGGGAAUAUUGGACAAUGGGCGAAAGCCUGAUCCAGCAAUGCCGCGUGUGUGAAGAAGGCCUGCGGGUUGUAAAGCACUUUCAGUAGAGAAGAAAAGCGCACGGCUAAUAUCCGUGUGUCUUGACGUAACCUACAGAAGAAGCACCGGCUAACUCCGUGCCAGCAGCCGCGGUAAUACGUAGGGUGCAGGCGUUAAUCGGAAUUACUGGGCGUAAAGCGUGCGCAGGCGGCUACUCAAGUCAGAUGUGAAAUCCCCGGGCUUAACCUGGGAACUGCGUUUGAAACUGGGUGGCUAGAGUGCGGCAGAGGGGGGUGGAAUUCCACGUGUAGCAGUGAAAUGCGUAGAUAUGUGGAGGAACACCGAUGGCGAAGGCAGCCCCCUGGGCCUGCACUGACGCUCGUGCACGAAAGCGUGGGGAGCAA
rnacentral:rRNA from 1 species